rnacentral:rRNA from 1 species
GAAUUUUGGACAAUGGGCGAAAGCCUGAUGCAGCGACGCCGCGUGGGGGAUGAAGGUCUUCGGGUUGUAAACUCCUUUCGCUAGGGACGAAUAUGUAUUUUGACGGUACCUGGAGAAGAAGCACCGGCUAACUACGUGCCAGCCGCCGCGGUAAUACGCAGGGUGCGAGCGUUGUCCGGAAUUACUGGGCGUAAAGAGCUCGUAGGUGGUUUGUCACGUCGUCUGUGAAAUCCCGGGGCUUAACCUCGGGCGUGCAGGCGAUACGGGCAUAACUUGAGUGCUGUAGGGGAGACUGGAAUUCCUGGUGUAGCGGUGAAAUGCGCAGAUAUCAGGAGGAACACCAAUGGCGAAGGCAGGUCUCUGGGCAGUAACUGACGCUGAGGAGCGAAAGCAUGGGUAGCGAACA